rnacentral:rRNA from 1 species
UACGGAGGAUCCAAGCGUUAUCCGGAUUUAUUGGGUUUAAAGGGUGCGUAGGUGGUUCUUUAAGUCAGGGGUGAAAGACGGUAGCUUAACUAUCGCAGUGCCUUUGAUACUGAAGAACUUGAAUACACUAGAGGUAGGCGGAAUGUGACAAGUAGCGGUGAAAUGCAUAGAUAUGUCACAGAACACCAAUUGCGAAGGCAGCUUACUAUGGUGUCAUUGACACUGAGGCACGAAAGCGUGGGGAUCAAACAGG